GAUGUGUGUAAUAUUUAAAAAGUGAUUCUGCAAAUGAGAUAAAAAGAACAGAAGAAAUGCAUAACAGAGAAUGCAUAAAUAAAGAAUGAUGGAAUAAGUUACCUGGGAGAGAACCUGGUAAAAUGGAACUGGAGUUAGUAGAUCACAGAGUUAAUCCAACUCCUAUGCAUAAUUUAAUUAUGUAAUGUAUAAUUCAGCUUGAUUUAAUUUCCUCAUUUAAUUUCUCAAAAGAACAGAUACUUGACUGAUCUGAGUCAGUGGGAAUCUAAGCUCUUUUUUUGACAGUACCCAUUGUCUUCUCUUUCCCUGUCUUUGGUUUGCCAUUCACGUCACACUGUUCAACUGUUUUCUGAAGCAGUCUUCAUAAGGCACUCACCUCUCCACCCUGUCUUCAAAUUGAAUUCCAGUAGUCAAUGGGACAGACAGCAGGGGUUAUCCAAGGAAUGGCAGAGGUAACAGCAAGAAGAAGGAAGCUGGUGGUUUUGCUCCCAGGUCAUAUAUGAAUCCAAAUAAUAUUUGUGUAGAGAACACAUGAAAAAAAAUCUCAGAAGAGAUAGAUCUUUGAAGGCAUAAAAGAUUCAAAGGAAAUAUAAAUCCCAUGCUUUAAUGUAUAUAUAUGCACAAAGGUAUAGAUAUGAAUAAGAACAUAGGUAUAUACAUAUAUAAUCUUGUGGCUCCGAGUCUGCUCUUCGGGUUUCUUUAUGUAUAGCAAAGGCAAAAAGGUAAGACACUUCACCAAGCACUUCAGAAUACUCUAGUGUAGGAAUCCAAAAGUGGAAAAAGGUUAAAGUCUGUUUCAUGUGGGAGGAGUUUACCAAUGGGUUAUGUGAUUGCCACUUAAAAAAUCUUUUAAUGAUCUUUUUAAACAGCUUCCCCAUUUGCAAAAAUGUAUUGGGAAACAUAAAUACAAAAAGUGCCCUAAAUGCUGGUUAUUAUUCUGUUGCUGUUGUUGCUGAAGUAUGAUUUUUUUCUUUGCAUUUCUCAAUCAUCCACUGAUUCUUUGAGGAUUUCAAAUGGAAGGAUGAGCAAGUAGUGAUCUUCAAAUAAAAUUAAUGGAUGACUUGAUGGUUUUACUUGAUACGUCACAUUUUAUGCCUGUUGCACACCUGUGACAUUGCUGCCAAUGUCUGUGGUCAGCAGCAGCACAUUAAUUGCGUGAGAUGUAAAUAAAUACUGCAAUACAUGCCUUGUUUCUCUUGUAGCCAUCCCAAACAUUAGCUUUGGGAGGAAGGGUAAAACAGACAUUUUCCAUUCUCUAGGAAGAAUGUGAAGGGUUACAGGAAAGAUAAAGGCACAGCAGCAUGAAAGCUGCAAUCAGAAGAGAUGAGAGCACCUGGGGGGGAUGUAUUACACCUGGGAAUCCCUCUCCCAGGGAAAGGCUUCUCUCUAUAUGGAUUGUAAAGUAUUCUACCUUCAGGAAGACUGAUUCUACUAAAGGGCAGAAAACAGUUACGGAGAAGGAAUAUAACACAUUAAAAAGCUAGGAGUUGACUGAAGAAACUGUGUGAAUAAACAGAGUGGAUAUUCAUGGAUA